AUAGCAUGUGAAAUCUCUUUGCUUAACAAGGAAAUUGCCAUUGAAACUGUUAGACUUGAGAAUGGACGAGGUAGGCGGAAUUCGUAGUGUAGCGGUGAAAUGCAUAGAUAUUACGAAGAACUCCAAUAGUGUAGACUGCUUACCAGACCAUAUCUGACACUAAGGCACGAAAGUGUGGGUAUCAAACAGGAUUAGAUACCCUGGUAGUCCACACAGUAAACGAUGAAUACUAACUGUUUGCGAUAUACAGCAAGUGGUCGAGCGAAAGCGUUAAGUAUUCCACCUGGGAAGUAUGCCGGCAACGGUGAAACUCAAAGGAAUUGACGGGGGCCCGCACAAGCGGAGGAACAUGUGGUUUAAUUCGAUAAUACGCGAGGAACCUUACCCGGGCUCGAACGAUAUUUGAAUACAUCCGAAAAGAUGUAGCUAGCAAUAGCAAAUACCGAGGUGCUGCAUGGUUGUCGUCAGCUCGUGCCGUGAGGUGUCGACUUAAGUGUCAUAACGAGCGCAACCCUUACCGAUAGUUACCAUCAGAUAAUGCUGGGGACUCUAUUGGGACUGCCACCGUAAGGUGUGAGGAAGGAGAGGAUGACGUCAAAUCAGCACGGCCCUUAUGUCCGGGGCGACACACGUGUUACAAUGGGAGAAACAAAGGGUCGCUACCUGGCAACAGGAUGCUAAUCUCGAAAAUCUCUCUCAGUUCGGAUUGGAGUCUGCAACUCGACUCCAUGAAGCUGGAUUCGCUAGUAAUCGCACAUCAGCCAUGGUGCGGUGAAUACGUUCCCGGGCCUUGUACACACCGCCCGUCAAGCCAUGGAAGCUGGAAGUACCUGAAGUAUGUAACUAAAAGAGCGUCCUAAGUAAAU
rnacentral:rRNA from 1 species